rnacentral:rRNA from 1 species
UACGUAGGUGGCAAGCGUUGUCCGGAUUUAUUGGGCGUAAAGCGAGCGCAGGCGGUUCUUUUAAGUCUGAUGUGAAAGCCCCCGGCUCAACCGGGGAGGGUCAUUGGAAACUGGAGAACUUGAGUGCAGAAGAGGAGAGUGGAAUUCCACGUGUAGCGGUGAAAUGCGUAGAUAUGUGGAGGAACACCAGUGGCGAAGGCGACUCUCUGGUCUGUAACUGACGCUGAGGCUCGAAAGCGUGGGGAGCAAGCAGG